GCCAGGAUGGCUGAGUGGUUGAGGCAUUGGACUUAAGAACCAAUGGACAUAUGUCCAUGUGGAUUCAAACUCCACUUCUGGUA
rnacentral:tRNA from 1 species